UAGUAACUUAAUCGGAUCGCAUGGGCUUGUCCCGCGACAAACCAUUCAAGUUUCUGCCCCAUCAUGCUUUCGAUGGUAGUGUAUUGGACUACCAUGGCUUUCACGGGUAACGGAGGAUUAGGGUUCGAUUCCGGAGAGGGAGCCUGAGAAACGGCUACCACUUCCACGGAAGGCAGCAGGCGCGUAAAUUACCCAAUCCUGACUCAGGGAGGUAGUGACAAGAAAUAAUGGGUCGGGGUUCUGCCCCGGGACUGCAAUGAGACGAAUUUAGACCCCUUAUCGAGGACCAAUUGGAGGGCAAGUCUGGUGCCAGCAGCCGCGGUAAUUCCAGCUCCAAUAGCGUAUAUUAAAGUUGUUGCAGUUAAAAAGCUCGUAGUUGGAUUUCUGGUAGUGGGCAAGAGCUCGUUGCACGUUGCUCGCGUUCAUUGCCAUCCUUCUGUUAACCUAUCAGGGCAUUCUAUUGUCAGUUAGGGGCUCAGAUAUUUUACCUUGAGAAAAUUAGAGUGUUUCAGGCAGGCUUGUGCCCGGGAUACAUUAGCAUGGAAUAAUGGAAUAGGACUUUAGCCUCUUCUGUUGGUCUGAGGGGUUGAAGUAAUGAUUAAUAGGGAUAGUUGGGGGCAUUAGUACUUAACUGUCAGAGGUGAAAUUCUCGGAUUUGUUAAAGACUAACUUAUGCGAAAGCAUUUGCCAAGGAUGUUUUCAUUAAUCAAGAACGAAAGUUAGGGGAUCAAAGACGAUCAGAUACCGUCCUAGUCUUAACCAUAAACUAUGCCGACUCGGGAUCGGGGGCCAGAGUUAACUGCCUUCGGCACCGUAUGAGAAAUCAAAGUCUUUGGGUUCUGGGGGGAGUAUGGUCGCAAGGCUGAAACUUAAAGGAAUUGACGGAAGGGCACCACCAGGCGUGGAGCUUGCGGCUCAAUUUGACUCAACACGGGGAAACUUACCAGGUCCAGACAUAGUGAGGAUUGACAGAUUGAUAGCUCUUUCUUGAUUCUGUGGGUGGUGGUGCAUGGCCGUUCUUAGUUGGUGGAGUGAUUUGUCUGGUUAAUUCCGUUAACGAACGAGACCUUAGCCUACUAAAUAGUCGCAACAAUUACGAUUGGCUGCGUCUUCUUAGAGGGACUUUGCAAGCAACUGCAAGGAAGUUUGAGGCAAUAACAGGUCUGUGAUGCCCUUAGAUGUCCUGGGCCGCACGCGUGCUACACUGACGCAUACAGCGAGUAUCACCAGCUCCGUGAGGCUGCUGGUAAUCAGCAAUAUGCGUCGUGCUGGGGAUAGAUCUUUGGAAUUUUUGAUCUUGAACGAGGAAUGCCUAGUAAGCGCAGGUCAUCAGCCUGCGUUGAUUAAGUCCCUGCCCUUUGUACACACCGCCCGUCGCUCCUACCGAUUUCGAGUGGUCCGGUGAACCCUUUGGACCGAGAGCGCCUCGUGAGCUUUUGGAAAGUCGAGUAAACCAC
rnacentral:rRNA from 1 species